rnacentral:rRNA from 1 species
UGGGGAAUCUUCCGCAAUGGACGAAAGUCUGACGGAGCAACGCCGCGUGAGUGAAGAAGGUUUUCGGAUCGUAAAACUCUGUCUUUUGGGGCGAACGUGAGUAUGGUGAACAAUCAUAGUCAGUGACGGUACCAAAGGAGGAAGCCACGGCUAACUACGUGCCAGCAGCCGCGGUAAUACGUAGGUGGCAAGCGUUGUCCGGAAUUAUUGGGCGUAAAGAGCGCGUAGGCGGGAUAGUCAGUCUGUUGUAAAGUGCGGGGCUCAACCCGUGAUGGCAAUGGAACAGCUAUUCUUGAGUGCAGGAGAGGAAAGUGGAAUUCCCAGUGUAGCGGUGAAAUGCGUAGAUAUUGGGAGGAACACCAGUGGCGAAGGCGACUUUCUGGACUGUGUCUGACGCUGAGGCGCGAAAGCCAGGGGGAGCGAACGGGAUUAGAUACCCCCGGUAGUCCUGGCCGUAAACGAUGGGUACUAGGUGUGGGAGGUAUCGACCCCCUUUCCGUGCCGGAGUUAACGCAAUAAGUACCCCGCCUGGGGAGUACGGUCGCAAGACUGAAACUUAAAGGAAUUGACGGGGGUCAUAGCUGUUUCCUG